UUGCCUCAAUAGUUGAAACCAUGCAUAUGUAAGUACACAUGGCAGGAACAGUGAAACUGGUUUCUUAGAUAACUGUGAUUACUCGAGAGUUAAUACAUGGUGAAGCCUGCAGACCUCCUUCGAUGUAUACAUUUCUCAGACCAAGUCCAUUUGGGACUCACCUGGUCACUUUGAUGACUCUAGAUAAGCUUGGGCGACUGCACAUGUGACUGUAGUGAUACAUGCGGCUAUCUAACCUAUCAACUUUCAAUGAAAGAUUUUGUGCCUAACAUUGUGACCAUGGGAGAUCAGGGUUCUAAUCUGGAGAGAGAGCAUGAGAAACUGCUAUAUUAACUAACGAAGGCUGUAGGCACACAAAUUAUCAACUCAUGACUCGGGGAGAUAGUUUUGAACAAUAACAAUACAGGACGCUUGUGAGGCCCUCUCAUUGGAAUGCGUACACCUUAAUCCUUUAAUGAGGAUCCAUUGACAUGCACGUCUGGCACCAGCAGAAAUGGUAAUUUCAGCUCCAAACAUGUAUAUUAACGUUGCUGCAGUUUAAAAGCGUGUACCUGGAUCUUGGAUUUAAGAUGGUGGUCUGCACAAGGUGUGCUAAUGCCUUUCGCAGGCUCUCAAACUCAGUGCUUCCUGGAAGAUCUAGUAUUGGUGGUCUAAUGUGUUUAAUUUGAAAAGAAGAAAGUGUUUGAAGUAGGUUGGUCAUCUAAAUAUUUCAGCAAGGAAUAAUGAAAUAGAACAACCUUUUAAUUGUGUUGUUUUUUUAGAACUGGGAAUAUGAUUUCGAGGCAUUGUGUCAUCCAAAGGUGAAAUUCUCGGACACGUGCAAUAGGAAACAAAGCAAAAUCAUUUACCACUAAUCAAAACCAUAUUCCAUUAAUCAAAAGUGAAGGCAGACAUUUAAAAGUGACAUUUGAAGGUCAUCAGAUUCCAUUGGCGUUCUAACCAUAAAUGGUAUAGACUAGCAAUCCGACAGCAUUAUUACCAUGUCCCUGUUAGCAGAUUUGGGAAACCAAACCCUUUGGGUUCUGGGAUGUGUAUGGUUUCAAAGCUAAAACCUAGAGUAAAUAAUAUAAGGGCACCAACAGGAGUGAGCCCUGCAGCUUAAGUUGACUCAACAAGGAUAACCUCACCGGCCAUGACACAGAAAGAAAUGACAAGUUAAUAGCUCUUUCACAAAUCGUUGAUUGGUGGUCUAUUGCCAUACUUAGUUGAUGGAGGAAUUUGUGUAGUUAAUUCUGACAAUGAAGAAAAGAACUCCAUGCUACGUAGUUACUUGACACCCAACAGG
rnacentral:rRNA from 1 species